rnacentral:rRNA from 1 species
UACGGAGGAUGCGAGCGUUAUCCGGAUUUAUUGGGUUUAAAGGGUGCGUAGGCGGAUCGUUAAGUCAGUGGUCAAAUUGAGGGGCUCAACCCCUUCCCGCCAUUGAAACUGGCGAUCUUGAGUGGAAGAGAAGUAUGCGAAAUGCGUGGUGUAGCGGUGAAAUGCAUAGAUAUCACGCAGAACCCCGAUUGCGAAGGCAGCAUGCCGGCUUCCUACUGACGCUGAGGCACGAAAGCGUGGGUAUCGAACAGG